UAGAGUUUGAUCCUGGCUCAGAGCGAACGCUGGCGGCAGGCUUAACACAUGCAAGUCGAGCGCGUGUAGCAAUACACGAGCGGCAGACGGGAGAGUAACACGUGGGAACAUGCCCUUCGGUUCGGAAUAACCCAGGGAAACUUGGGCUAAUACCGGAUACGUCCGUAAGGAGAAAGAUUUAUCGCCGAAGGAUUGGCCCGCGUCCGAUUAGCUAGUUGGUGAGGUAAUGGCUCACCAAGGCGACGAUCGGUAGCUGGUCUGAGAGGAUGAUCAGCCUCAUUGGGACUGAGACACGGCCCAAACUCCUACGGGAGGCAGCAGUGGGGAAUAUUGGACAAUGGGCGCAAGCCUGAUCCAGCCAUGCCGCGUGGGUGACGAAGGCCCUAGGGUUGUAAAGCCCUUUCGGCGGGGAAGAUAAUGACGGUACCCGCAGAAGAAGCCCCGGCUAACUUCGUGCCAGCAGCCGCGGUAAUACGAAGGGGGCUAGCGUUGCUCGGAAUCACUGGGCGUAAAGCGCACGUAGGCGGACUCUUAAGUCGGUGGUGAAACCCUGGAGCUUAACUCCAGAACUGCCUUCGAUACUGGGAGUCUUCGAGUCCGGGAGAGGUGAGUGGAACUGCGAGUGUAGAGGUGAAAUUCGUAGAUAUUCGCAAGAACACCAGUGGCGAAGGCGGCUCACUGGCCCGGUACUGACGCUGAGGUGCGAAAGCGUGGGGAGCAAACAGGAUUAGAUACCCAGGUAGUCCACGCCGUAAACGAUGGAUGCUAGCCGUUGGCGGGUUUACUCGUCAGUGGCGCAG
rnacentral:rRNA from 1 species